CUGGGGAUCCACAUGAGGCGGGAUGAUGUGCCUGCUGAAAUUAAAGGGACAGGGUGGUGGGAAAAGUCUCCAUCCCAGGAUGGCAGGCUUCCACAGCCACAGCAACUCAUGACAGGCCUCACUGGGGGAUGAGCAGAGCUGCGUCCUUUGGAGCCAGAGACAUCAGGUCUCAGGUAGUGUGAAGGAUCCUAGCCAUGGAGUGGCCAGCCAGUAAACUGUGUUGGGCAGCAGAGGAGUAAGAAGCUGCAUGUCCUUCCAUGGGCAAGAAGAGGCACUUUCUGGGGGUUGGGAAGUCUAAGACCAAGGUGCCAGCUGGUUUGGUGCCUGGUGAUGGCCCAGUCUCUGCUUCCAG
rnacentral:lncRNA from 1 species